UGACCCCGUGCGGGAGAGCCCUCCGGCACCACCGGAGGCGCCGAAGGAGCAAAUCCUCCCCGGAAUCUCUCAGGCCCCCGUACCGCACGGACGAG
rnacentral:ncRNA from 2 species